rnacentral:rRNA from 1 species
CCUACGGGGGGCAGCAGUGAGGAAUAUUGGUCAAUGGACGAGAGUCUGAACCAGCCAAGUAGCGUGAAGGAUGACUGCCCUAUGGGUUGUAAACUUCUUUUAUAUGGGAAUAAAACGUUCCACGUGUGGGAUUUUGUAUGUACCAUAUGAAUAAGGAUCGGCUAACUCCGUGCCAGCAGCCGCGGUAAUACGGAGGAUCCGAGCGUUAUCCGGAUUUAUUGGGUUUAAAGGGAGCGUAGGUGGAUUGUUAAGUCAGUUGUGAAAGUUUGCGGCUCAACCGUAAAAUUGCAGUUGAAACUGGCAGUCUUGAGUACAGUAGAGGUGGGCGGAAUUCGGGGUGUAGCGGUGAAAUGCUUAGAUAUCACGAAGAACUCCGAUUGCGAAGGCAGUUCACUGGACUGCAACUGACACUGAGGCUCGAAAGUGUGGGUAUCAAACAGGAUUAGAUACCCUAGUAGUC